GACGAACCGUGCGAACGUUAUUCGGAAUCACUGGGCUUAAAGCGCGUGUAGGCGGAUGGGAACGUCGGUCGUUGAAAGCCCCCGGCUCAACCGGGGAAUGGGCGCCGAAACGGCCCGUCUGGAGGGACGUAGGGGGACCUGGAACUUCCGGUGGAGCGGUGAAAUGCGUUGAGAUCGGAAGGAACGCCCGUGGCGAAAGCGAGGUCCUGGACGUCUGCUGACGCUGAGACGCGAAAGCGUGGGGAGCAAACAGG
rnacentral:rRNA from 1 species